rnacentral:misc_RNA from 1 species
CAGCGCCAUUAACUUAUCAGUUUUACUUGCAUAUCUUUAAUAAAUUCUUUUAGCAGGACAGCUUUAGUAAGGGAAGGAGGGGAAAAACACAAAGGCCAACUCCUUUCUCUAAAUAAAUGGAAAUGUAUUUUUGAUAUGGAUGAAAUUAGUGAGCAAUUCUUGGGAGAAUGGGAGAAACAGCAAGGGAUGAAGUAAAGGAAGAAAG